GAGAUUUUAUUAUAAUUAAGUAUACCUUUUUUUCAUGAAGGAGGCAAAAAUCUUU
rnacentral:tRNA from 1 species